rnacentral:rRNA from 1 species
CCUACGUGAGGCAGCAGUGGGGAAUAUUGCGCAAUGGGCGAAAGCCUGACGCAGCGACGCCGCGUGAGGGAUGAAGGUCUUCGGGUCGUAAACCUCUGUCAGCAGGGAAGAACGGUCACUGUGCUAAUCAGCAGUAAAUUGACGGUACCUGCAAAGGAAGCACCGGCUAACUCCGUGCCAGCCGCCGCUGUAAUACGGAGGGUGCGAGCGGUAAUCGGAAUUACUGGGCGUAAAGCGCACGUAGGCGGUAUGUCAAGUCAAGGGUGAAAUCCCCGCGCUCAACGUGGGAACUGCCUUUGAAACGGGCAAACUGGAGUGUGUGAGAGGAAAGUGGAAUUCCAGGGGUAGGAGUGAAAUGCGUAGAUAUCUGGAGGAACAUCAGUGGCGAAGGCGACUAUCUGGCACAUAACUGACGCUGAGGAGCGAAAGCGUGGGUAGCAAACAGGAUUAGAUACCCUAGUAGUC